rnacentral:rRNA from 1 species
UACGUAGGGUGCAAGCGUUGUCCGGAAUUAUUGGGCGUAAAGAGCUCGUAGGCGGUCUGUCGCGUCUGCUGUGAAAACCUAGGGCUUAACUCUGGGCGUGCAGUGGGUACGGGCAGGCUAGAGUGCGGUAGGGGAGACUGGAAUUCCUAGUGUAGCGGUGAAAUGCGCAGAUAUCAGGAGGAACACCGGUGGCGAAGGCGGGUCUCUGGGCCGUAACUGACGCUGAGGAGCGAAAGCGUGGGGAGCAAACAGG